rnacentral:rRNA from 1 species
AGUGAACGCUGGCGGUAGGCCUAACACAUGCAAGUCGAACGGCAGCACAGUAAGAGCUUGCUCUUACGGGUGGCGAGUGGCGGACGGGUGAGGAAUACAUCGGAAUCUACUUUUUCGUGGGGGAUAACGUAGGGAAACUUACGCUAAUACCGCAUACGACCUACGGGUGAAAGCAGGGGAUCUUCGGACCUUGCGCGAUUGAAUGAGCCGAUGUCGGAUUAGCUAGUUGGCGGGGUAAAGGCCCACCAAGGCGACGAUCCGUAGCUGGUCUGAGAGGAUGAUCAGCCACACUGGAACUGAGACACGGUCCAGACUCCUACGGGAGGCAGCAGUGGGGAAUAUUGGACAAUGGGCGCAAGCCUGAUCCAGCCAUACCGCGUGGGUGAAGAAGGCCUUCGGGUUGUAAAGCCCUUUUAUUGGGAAAGAAAAGCAGCAGGUUAAUACCCCGCUGUUCCGACGGUACCCAAAGAAUAAGCACCGGCUAACUUCGUG